GCUUUCCUGUGGCUCAGUUGGUAGAGUAUUGUGUUAAUACAAAGGUCGUGGGUUCAAAUCCCUGGGAAAGCA